rnacentral:tRNA from 4 species
GGGCCGGUAGCUCAGAUGGGAGAGCGCUGCGUUCGCAAUGCAGAGGUCAGGAGUUCGAUCCUCCUUCGGUCCACCA